UCCCUGGUGGUCUAGCGGCCAAGGAUCCCGUUCUCUCGCCGCCGUGGCCCGGGUUCAAUUCCCGCGCAGGGAU